rnacentral:rRNA from 1 species
AGAGUUUGAUCCUGGCUCAGGAUAAACGCUGGCGGCGUGCCUAAUCAAUGCGAGUCGAGCGGUCUUUCGGGACAGCGGCGUCCGGGUGAGUAACGCGUAGCUAACCUGCCCACAGGUGGGGGAUACCCGCCAGAAAUGGCGGCUAAUACCGCAUAGCGUGACGGGGGGCAACCUUUGGCACGAAAGCAGUGAUGCGCUUGUGGAGGGGGCUGCGUCCGAUUAGCUAGUCGGUGGGGUAACGGCCUACCGAGGCGACGAUCGGUAGCUGGUCUGAGAGGGCGACCGGCCACACUGGGACUGAGACACGGCCCAGACUCCUACGGGAGGCAGCAGUGGGGAAUAUUGCGCAAUGGGGGAAACCCUGACGCAGCGACGCCGCGUGCGGGAUGAAGGCCUUCGGGUUGUAAACCGCUUUCACCAGGGACGAAGCGAGAGUGACGGUACCUGGGGAAGAAGCGCCGGCUAACUACGUGCCAGCAGCCGCGGUAAUACGUAGGGCGCGAGCGUUGUCCGGAAUUAUUGGGCGUAAAGAGCUCGUAGGCGGCCGGUUGCGUCUGCUGUGAAAUCCCGGGGCUUAACCCCGGGCGUGCAGUGGAUACGGGCCGGCUGGAGGCAGGCAGGGGAGAAUGGAAUUCCCGGUGUAGCGGUGAAAUGCGCAGAUAUCGGGAGGGACACCGGUGGCGAAGGCGGUUCUCUGGGCCUGUACUGACGCUGAGGAGCGAAAGCGUGGGGAGCGAACAGGAUUAGAUACCCUGGUAGUCCACGCCGUAAACGUUGGGCGCUAGGUGUGGGUCCCUUCCACGGGGUCUGUGCCGCAGCUAACGCAUUAAGCGCCCCGCCUGGGGAGUACGGCCGCAAGGCUAAAACUUAAAGGAAUUGACGG